UAGAGAUCGGGAGGAAUACCAGUGGCGAAGGCGGCCUUCUGGACUGACACUGACACUGAGGUGCGAAAGCGUGGGUAGCAAACAGGAUUAGAUACCCUGGUAGUCCACGCCGUAAACGAUGUCGACCAGCCGUUGGGUGCCUAGCGCACUUUGUGGCGAAGUUAACGCGAUAAGUCGACCGCCUGGGGAGUACGGCCGCAAGGUUAAAACUCAAAUGAAUUGACGGGGGCCCGCACAAGCGGUGGAGCAUGUGGUUUAAUUCGAUGCAACGCGAAGAACCUUACCUACUCUUGACAUCCUGCGAAUUUGGUAGAGAUACCUUAGUGCCUUCGGGAACGCAGAGACAGGUGCUGCAUGGCUGUCGUCAGCUCGUGUUGUGAAAUGUUGGGUUAAGUCCCGUAACGAGCGCAACCCUUGUCCUUAUUUGCCAGCGCGUAAUGGCGGGAACUCUAAGGAGACUGCCGGUGACAAACCGGAGGAAGGUGGGGACGACGUCAAGUCAUCAUGGCCCUUACGAGUAGGGCUACACACGUGCUACAAUGGUCGGUACAAAGGGUUGCCAACUCGCGAGAGUGAGCCAAUCCCGAAAAGCCGAUCUCAGUCCGGAUCGGAGUCUGCAACUCGACUCCGUGAAGUCGGAAUCGCUAGUAAUCGUGGAUCAGAAUGCCACGGUGAAUACGUUCCCGGGCCUUGUACACACCGCCCGUCACACCAUGGGAGUGGACUGCACCAGAAGUGGUUAGCCUAACGCAAGAGGGCG
rnacentral:rRNA from 1 species